rnacentral:rRNA from 1 species
GACGAACGCUGGCGGCGUGCUUAACACAUGCAAGUCGAACGAAGAGCGAUGGAAGCUUGCUUCUAUCACUCUUAGUGGCGAACGGGUGAGUAACGCGUAAUCAACCUGCCCUUCAGAGGGGGACAACAGUUGGAAACGACUGCUAAUACCGCAUACGAUCUGACCUCGGCAUCGAGGAUAGAUGAAAGGUGGCCUCUACAUGUAAGCUAUCACUGAAGGAGGGGAUUGCGUCUGAUUAGCUAGUUGGAGGGGUAACGGCCCACCAAGGCGAUGAUCAGUAGCCGGUCUGAGAGGAUGAACGGCCACAUUGGGACUGAGACACGGCCCAGACUCCUACGGGAGGCAGCAGUGGGGAAUCUUCCGCAAUGGACGAAAGUCUGACGGAGCAACGCCGCGUGAGGGAUGACGGCCUUCGGGUUGUAAAGCUCUGUUAAUCGGGACGAAAGGCCUUUUUGCGAAUAGUGAGAAGGAUUGACGGUACCGGAAUAGAAAGCCACGGCUAACUACGUG